rnacentral:rRNA from 1 species
ACGUAGGGUGCAAGCGUUAAUCGGAAUUACUGGGCGUAAAGCGUACGCAGGCGGCUAUGUAAGACAGGUGUGAAAUCCCCGGGCUUAACCUGGGAACUGCAUUUGUGACUGCAUAGCUAGAGUCUGUCAGAGGGGGGUGGAAUUCCACGUGUAGCAGUGAAAUGCGUAGAGAUCUGGAGGAAUACCGAUGGCGAAGGCAGCCCCCUGGCCUGAUACUGACGCUGAGGUGCGAAAGCAUGGGGAGCAAACAGGA